AUUGAACGCUGGCGGCAGGCUUAACACAUGCAAGUCGAGCGGAGUGAUUGUGCUUGCACUAUCACUUAGCGGCGGACGGGCGAGUAAUGCUUAGGAGUCUGCCUAUUAGUGGGGGACAACAUCUCGAAAGGGAUGCUAAUACCGCAUACGGCCUACGAGAGAAAGCAGGGGAUCACUAGAGACCUUGCGCCAAUAGAUGAGCCUAAGUCGGAUUAGCUAGUGGGUGGGGUAAAGGCCUACCAAGGCGACGAUCUGUAGCGGGUCUGAGAGGAUGAUCCGCCACACUGGGCCUGAGACACGGCCCAGACUCCUACGGGAGGCAGCAGUGGGGAAUAUUGGACAAUGGGGGGAACCCUGAUCCAGCCAUGCCGCGUGUGUGAAGAAGGCCUUAUGGUUGUAAAGCACUUUAAGCGAGGAGGAGGCUCUUUUGGUUAAUACCCAAGAUGAGUGGACGUUACUCGCAGAAUAAGCACCGGCUAACUCUGUGCCAGCCGCCGCGGUAA
rnacentral:rRNA from 1 species